rnacentral:rRNA from 1 species
GACAGAGGUGCCAAGCGUUAGGCGGAAUCACUGGGCGUAAAGCGCACGUAGGCGGACUCUUAAGUCGGUGGUGAAAUCCUGGAGCUCAACUCCAGAACUGCCUUCGAUACUGGGAGUCUCGAGUUCGGGAGAGGUGAGUGGAACUGCGAGUGUAGAGGUGAAAUUCGUAGAUAUUCGCAAGAACACCAGUGGCGAAGGCGGCUCACUGGCCCGAUACUGACGCUGAGGUGCGAAAGCGUGGGGAGCAAACAGG